GAGAAGAAGACGAAGAAGAAGAAGACGGGGCAGGAGAAGAAGCAGCAGCAGCAGCAGCGUAUGUUCCGGGUUUGCCGCUGGACCGGGAUGGGGGAAACUGCUGCUCAGUUGUUGUCAAGGCUGGAUGGUCGACGACGUCUGAGCGAAAUGGAACCUCGUCUCUUCUCAGACGAUGCAGGACCGGGGCAUGGUGAGGUGGUUGAGCUCAGGGGUUUGGAGGGAACAGGGAAGACGGAGUUGCUGUACCACCUUCUGUGUCAAUGUGUGUUGCCGGUGGAGGUUGGUGGUCUGUGUGUGGAAGUUGUGUUUGUGGACACAGACUUCAGUCUUGACAUGUUGCGUCUGGUCACCAUCCUGGAGAACCGACUGGAGGCUGGUCUCUCUGUCUCCAGAGCUGAGGGAGCUGUCAGUCCAGUGGAGGAGGCUCUGCGUUGCUGCCUGUCUCGCCUCUUCGUUGUCCACUGUACUUCCUCCUCUCAGCUGCUCCUCACCCUGCACUACCUGGAAACUUCUGUCUGCUUCCGGCCAGGCGUAUCACUGCUGCUCAUUGACAGCAUCUCAGCCUUCUAUUGGUUGGACCGCUGUGGGGGCGGGGAGAGCCUGGCCAAACAAGAAGAGAAGCUAAGCAAGUGUUCAGCGCUCCUAGCAAGACUGCUCAGGGAUUACAGGAUCUCUGUUGUGGCCUCCUCUCAUGUCAUCAGGAGGAGCAGCAGGCAUUCCUCCUCCUCAGGGAUGGACCAGCCAUUUCUGUGUCGCCCAUGGCAACAACUGGUCACCCACAGACUGUGCUGUUCCACAGCACAGUCUGGAUCCAACAUGGCCGCCACAGCAGGCAGCAGACGGCAGGUCUUCACAGUUCACUGUUGCUCCUCCUCCUCUUCAUCCAGCAGGAGCAGCUCCUUUCAUGUGACAGAUGCAGGAGUGGAGUUUAUCUAAAGACGUUCGACUCCUUGAACCACAUCCUCCAACUGUCAACUAGCAGUGCAGCCACUGCCUUCGACACUACACACAGUUCUGUGUGUGAGGAGGAGGUGUGAGAGGUGAUUAGGUGUGGCCUGGUGCAUUGUGUUUAAAAAGGUUUCCAUGUUCAGCAGGAAUAUGAAAGAAAAAUCUUGAUUUAUUAUCACCCAAGAUUUUAGCUUUUCGCCAACAAAACAUCUGCGAUGAUGUCAUCGUUGUGAGAUUGUUGGUCUUGUUCAAUGCGCAACAUUCUACUUCCUGAUGGGAUGAUUUUGCUUGCCUUUGUUUAGAAAGGUAUGUUUAAUAAAAAUAUUGUUUCUGUCAAAGUAAAAACCAGUCAGUGACAAAAGACAGUCUGUUAUUUGAUGUGUCGUCUAUGUUAUGUGGUUAAUAAUAGUCUCACACACACAAACACACCAGGUCCAUCAUAGAACGCCAAGCAGCCAGUAAAUAUACAGCUGGUAAGAGUUAAACAUGGCGUGUAAGACUGGGGGUGCCACCCCUGACCUUCUGUAUGGAGUUGACAUGUUCUCCCCUUGUUCCUUGUUCCCCUGGUUCCCCCCCACGGGCCAAACGCACGUCAACUCAGAUGGAUGAAACGUCCAUAGGUGUGCAAACUGCAUGUCUGUGUGAUGGACACAAGCCAGCAAAGUUACCUUUCUUUACAUGUAUGUUAAAGGACAUGUCUUUACAACCUGGGUCUUCUUAUCGUGGUGUUUUCCAUCAUGCAUAUCAGUUAUGAUGUCAUUUUACUCCCCAGCUUCAUUCAGCAGAUUUUGGACAUGGACCACCGCUGGACUCGGCUUUACAGCGGGACAAGUGAACAGGAGUCUUUAAACAACAGCGCCCCCUAGUGUGUCAGUCAGCCUCUGUCCAUGACUGUCCAUCAUCUAUGACUUCUCUAUGGCGCUGGCCAGCUAGUUUAUGGAUGUUACUACUACCUACGGCACCGCUGUAAAGCUGAGUCCAGCGGUGGUCCAUGUCCAACAUCUACUGAAUGAAGCUGGGUUGACGGCAUGGCAAGAGAGGAGAGAAUGAAGCCGUCUCACAUGAUGGAUAGCACCAUCCAGAUGAUGUACUAGAUGGUGAAUAGAGCAUCACAGAGAUGCUUAAUGGUGGAUAUGUUUUAUAUUUCUGCAGAAGACAUUGGACAUGGGAGGAAUGAGAAGGGCUGUGACUGACAGGGCUGCUCUGUCCUCUGGUGACUGACUUUUGGUUAAAUUGACAUUUUACAACACAUGGUGGAGACAGUCAUUUCUCUGCAUGCAUUUGAACACCACUAGGAUGUUUUGUUGGGUUAGAGUUGGGGAUGAGAUUGUGCGGUUGCCUUCCAGAAUUUCAACCUCAAUAGAUAUAAAGAAGUACAAUAUGGUAUCCUAUGUGAUAUCUAUAUAUCACCGUUUAUUUAUAGUAAGUAUAAAGCAGGGAUUUCACCAAAUUGUCCCAAAUGUAAAACUCGUGUGGAGACUAGACUGCAUUGCUUGUGGGAAUGCAGUAAAAUUCAGUUAUUCGGGAGGGCAGUAUGUGCAACAUCAGCACAGCAGUAGGUGAACAGGUGUCAGCAAACCCACUUCUAUGUCUGCUUGGACAUGUCCCUGACUCUCUUAACCAGUAUGAGGAGGUGGUUCAGUCGCUUCUAAUGCUGGCAAGGAAAGCCAUCAUGGUGAAGUGGGUCAGGGAUGACCCUCGUUCUACUUCCAUGUGGAACUCUGUUCUCCGAGGUCGUGACUCUGGAAGAAUUAGGACACUACAUUGAUGGAAGGUUUCAUCUUUUUCUGCAGAACUGAAGAAACCGUUGGAAUCUCUGGGAGUUAAAUAUAAUUUGGACCUAAGUGGGUACUAACUGUGGACAAAUGAUUGAAUUGGGGACAUUGGGAAUGAAUGGGAUCCAUGUUUACAAUAAUUACUUAAUUCCACUAUAUUGUGUCUCUUAUUUAAGUGCUGUGCCUCAUUUUAUAUUAAUUGCUCCCCCCCUUCUUUUUGAGAACCAGUCCUGUAACAUUAUGUUUUGUAUGUUUGGGUUUUUUUUAAGAAAAUUUGAAUUAAAAAUAAUUAAAUUAUAGAAAUACAUAUAAAUGACUGUUAAUUCUUUUUCAGCUGGGCCAUAAUAUGGA